rnacentral:lncRNA from 1 species
CACCGUCUUGCUUUGAACAUUACUGCUUUCCUUUUGUUCUCCAGGUGGGCUCCUGAUCACCAACAUUUACACGGGGUUUCCUCGAAACUUGAACUGUUUUUCCCUUUGUUCUCUAGGUGGGCUCCUGAUUACCGACACUUGAAUUGUUUCUCCCUUUAUUCUCCAGGUGGGCUCCUGAUUACCGACACUUGAAUUGCUUCUCCUUUUGUUCUCUAAGUGGGCUCCUGAUUACCGACACUUGAAUUGCUUCUCCCUUUGUUCUUUAGGUGGGCUCCUGAUUUCCGACACUUGAAUUGCUUCUCCCUUUGUUCUUCAGGUGGUCUCCUGAUUACCGACAAUUGAAUUGCUUCUCCCUUUGUUCUCCAGGUGGGCUCCUGAUUACCAACACUUGAACUUGUUUUCCCUUUGUUCUCCAGGUGGACUCCUGAUUACCGACACUUUAACUGUUUUUCCUCGGAACUUGAUUUGUUUUCCAUUUGUUCUCCAGGUGGGCUCCUGAUUGUUGAGCUUGAACUACUUCCUCUUGCGACUGCUUUUCCUUUGAGCUGGCUUCCCUUGUUUCUCUAGGUGGGUGCCUGAUUGCUUGAACCUGAACUGCUUUCUAUCUUUGAAACUCGUGUUGUUCUCUCUUGCUCUCUAGGUGGGCGCCUGAUUGCAACAGAAUAAACAAAACAAAGAAAAUUUUUUGCCCCAGUUUGGUAGCUGGGCACAUCGGUGAGUGUUAAUUGAAUCAUGCUACCAAAUAUCUCUAAGAAUUUGAAAGCUAGAUCCCAUUAUCCUGGAGGGUCCUGAAAGCUCCUAGUAAAAUGACAGUUUUAAAGCUAAAUUAUAUUUUCUAAAGGUAUGACUUCCGCUAAAUCUUGUUAUCUAUGAAGGUCUUAAAACUACAUCCCAUUAUCUAGGAGGGUCCUGAAAAUCCAAAUCAAAUCUCAUCUUAAGAGUGACAACUUUAAGGCUAAAUUAUACUUCCCUACGACAGAACUUACGCUAAAUCUUAUUAUCUAAUGGAGGUCUUAAAGCUAAGUCCCAUUAUUCAGAUGGGUCUUGAAAAUUUCCAAUUGAGUCUCGUUCUAAGAAUGAAAACUUCAAAACAAACUUAUAUUUUCACAAAGUAGAGCUUAUGCUAGAUCUUGUUACUCAUGAAUAUUUUGAAUUUUAAAACUAGGUCCCAUAGUCCAAGAGGGACCUGAGAAUUUACGGUCGAACCUGUCUGGUACUUACUUUCCUUACAGAGAGUUUCUUCGAAACAAACAAAAUUUUCUUCCCCUAUUUCAAAUCAAAGAAAAAUUUUGUUAUUUUAAAAUGUGGUGGUUAGUUUAUGGCAUUCUUACUGAAGGUGGCCUCUCUGUUGUCGUGUUUUGCUUUGACUGGUUGCCUUGCAUAACCCGAGCGCUCUGCACCCAAACUGUUGUUUUACAUUUCUAACCCUUCUACCUAAACCUCUGUAUCUCCCACAAGAUUACUAAACCAUUCGACCAAUGGAACUUUCAUUGACACCUUAUUUCCCACUUUAUAUUAUGUUAUCUUUGGUAUGCUUUGGCCGCACUUUGCUUUGUGCAAUUUGGAGGUUUGGUAGUGAGCUUUGAAAUCCUUUCUUUCUUACUUAAACAAGGCUAAAAUUUGGAAAAACCUUAGAGAAAUAAUCCUAAAGAAGUAAAAUUCAAUGAAUUCGAGAGUUAGGAAUAAAGAGGAAAAUCCAAAACUGGAUGACAUGUUUGAAAGAGAAAAGGGAAAGAGACUUAUCUGAGUGGAGCGGCUGGUACCAAUUAUCAUGACAUGCAUUUCGGAUUAAUCAACCCAGCUUAUUCAACCAAUAUUCUUUCAAUCUUCACACUUUUAUGCCCGUGGUUCCCAUAAUCUAACUCCCUUGCCAAGUCAACGACCUUAUUCGGCUUGUAGUGCCCUGAAGGGUUUUCACCAACAAACCUCUCUCAUUUGUUUAUCUCUUAACUUACUGUCGUCUUACGGUGCCCGUGAGGGUUUUCACCAAUAAGACUCUCUCAUUUUUUAUUUCACUCAGCUUUCCAUCGUCUUACGGUGCCCGUGAAGGGUUUCACCAAUAAGACUCUCUCAUUUUUUACUUCCCUGCUCGGAAUGGAGUGUUUCCCCUGAUACGACUCGCCUCUACUUGCUCGACCUAGCAUCUCUCGAUGACUAAUCGAAAGGUCUUUCUUUGGACCGUAAUGUGCGCUUUGGAUAGGGUUAGAAAGAAAGGGUAUUGAAAGGCUCAAAACAAUUUGAAAUGGUUCAAAAUUAUAACUUUUGGAAUCAGAUUUCUUACAACAACCACAACUUUCUGCCCCAGUUUCUUUACUUGGGGACUUUUGAAUUUUAUUUUGACGGGACCGAACUGUGAGGCUGCCUACGUAUCCUUAAAAGGAAUCAGGUCAAACGUAGUUCAUGCAUAGAAAUUACUUUGUUGUUGUGAUUUUUCUCUUUUCUUUUUCUUUCUCUUCUCUUUUUUUUCCAUUUCCCUUUUUGUUGUUUUUUUUCUCUUCUUUUUUUCACUCUUUUUAUUCUUUUCUUUCUCUUUUUCUCUCUUUUCCUUUACAUAUCUUUUGUGUUCGCAUUUCUGAACUUUGCUACUGAUUCCAUAAGAGGGGAAUGAAAGGAAAUAAAUAAGGCUCAAAGGGGUAACAAAGGAUAAAGUGUUUAGAUAGCAGAACAAAAUGCCUUCGUCAUUCCAAUCUUCAAAACAUGCCAAGUACAAACAAACACAAUUUAAACCAAAGAAAUCAUACAUAAUAUCUUUUGACUACAUCAGAACUGAUAGCCAUAUCUACACAUUUGCCUUCUAUAUCUGUUAAAUACAAAGCACCAUAGGACAACACUCUCGUUACGAUGAACGGCCCCUGCCAAUUUGGGGCGAACUUGCCUUUUGCUUCAGCCUAAUGUGGAAGGAUGCGUUUCAAUACUUGCUGACCCACUUCAAAUUUUCGGGGACGCACUUUCUUGUUGUAUGCUCUUGCCAUUCUCUUUUGAUACAACUGGCCAUAGCAUACUGCUGCCAAUCUUUUCUCAUCAAUCAAACUCAAUUGCUCCAAACAGGUUUUGACCCACUCAUCAUCAUCAAUUUCGGCUUCAGCAAUGAUCUGAAGGGAUGUAAUUUCAACCUCCACGGGUAUUACUGCUUCUGGGCCAUAUACAAACAAAUAAGGAGUUGCCCCUACUGAAGUGCGAACAGUAGUGUGAUAACCCAACAGUGCAAAGGGCAACUUUUUAUGCCAUUGCCUGGAACCCUGCAUCAUUUUUCGAACUAUCUUCUUUAUGUUCUUGUUGGCUGGCUCAACUGCUCCAUUCGCCUUGGGGUGGUAUGGGGUGGAAUUGCAAUGCGUAAUCUUAGACUGUUGACACACUUCUUUCAUCAGAUGGUUGUUAAGAUUAGCACCAUUAUCUGUGAUGAUCACCUUGGGGAUUCCGAAUCGACAAAUAAUAUUUGAAUGAACAAAAUUGACCACUGCCUUCUUGGUUACAGACUUGAAAGUUUUAGCUUCAACCCACUUAGUGAAAUAGUCAAUGGCCACCAGAAUGAACCUGUGCCCAUUAGAUGUUGCUGGCUCAAUUGGUCCGAUGACAUCCAUACCCCAAGCAACAAAGGGCCAUGCUGCGGACAUUGUGUGUAAUUCAGAUGGCGGAGAAUGAAUCAAAUCUCCGUGUACUUGACAUUGAUGACAUUUGCGCACAAAACUGAUACAAUCUCGCUCCAUGGUGUGCCAAUAAUAACCUGCUCGGAGAAUCUUGUUUGCUAGAACAUACCCAUUCAUAUGCGGCCCGCAAACCCCGGAAUGUACUUCAGUCAUGAUUGUUGAUGCUUGUCUAGCAUCUAUGCAUCUUAACAAACCAAGAUCUGGAGUCCUUUUGUACAAAACUCCUCCACUGAAGAAAAACCCACUUGCCAAAUGUCGAAUUGUUCUCUUUUGAUCCCCCGUGGCUUGUACUGGAUACACCCCCAUUCUGAUGUACUCUUUGAUGUCGUGGAACCAUGGCUCACCAUCAAGUUCUUCUUCCACCAUGUUACAGUAAGCAUGCUGAUCGCAGACCUGAAUAUGUAAAGGGUCAACAUAAGCUCUGUCCGGAUGAUGUAACAUUGAUUCCAAGGUAGCCAAAGCAUCGACAACCUCAUUAUAGAUCCUUGGAAUAUGCCUGAAUUAUAUUGAUCAAAAUCGUUGACAAAGAUCAUGCAGACAUUGUCGAUACAGUAUAAGCUUUAAGUCCCGCGUCUCCCAUUAUCCUUGAAUCUAGUGCACCAGAAGGUCUGAGUCUCCCAAGACCAAGACUUCCUGGAUUCCUAUAUCUACAGCUAGCCUUAGUCCCAGAAUGCAUUCCUAGUACUCAUCCAUGUUGUUGGUACAAUAGAAAUGAAGCUGAGCCGUAACUGGGUAGUGAUGCCCUAUUUCAGAAAUGAGUACACCUCAUAUCCCAAUGCCUUUCAUGUUAGUAGCCCCAUCAAAGAAGAGUUUCCAACCGGGCUUUUCCUCCUUCUCGACCUCGUCAAUGUGUUUUACCUCUUCAUCAGGAAAAUAAGUCUUCAAAGGUUCAUAUUCUUCGUCCACGGGGUUCUCGGCCAAAUGAUCAACCAAAGCUUGGGCUUUCAACGCCGUCCGAGUCACAUAUACGAUGUCAAACUCUGUGAGCAAAAUCUGCCACUUUGCAAGCCUUCCUGUGGGCAUGGGCUUCUGAAAGAUAUACUUUAGAGGAUCCAGGCAAGAAAUGAGGUAAGUAUUGUAGGACGACAAGUAAUGCUUCAAUUUCUGUGCCACCCAAGUCAGGACACAACACGUCCUCUCAAGGGGAGUAUACUUAACCUCAUAAGAUGUGAAUUUCUUGCUGAGAUAGUAGAUGGCCUGCUCUUUCCUGCCAGUGAUGUCAUGCUGACCCAACACAUAACCAAAUGAGUUAUCCAGGACUGUCAAAUAAAGAAUCAAAGGUCUUCUUGGUUCUGGUAGGACCAACACAAGUGGGUUCGACAAAUACUCCUUGAUCUUAUCGAAGGCUUCCUGGAACUCAUCGGUCCAAUUGACCGCAACAUCCUUUUUUAGCAAGUUGAAUAUGGGCUCACAAGUUGUUGUGAGCUGAGCUAUAAACCUGCUGAUAUAGUUUAGCCUCCCUAACAAACUCAUCACCUUGGUCUUGUUCUUUGGCGGAGGUAGUUCCUGAGUAGCUUUAAUCUUUGACGGAUCCAAUUCAAUGCCCCACCGGCUGACUAUGAAUCCCAAAAGUUUUCCAGAUGGGACACCAAAUGCACACUUUGCAGGGUUGAGUUUAAGAUUGUACCUGUGGAGCCUUUGGAAGAACUUUCUCAAAUCUCUGCCGUGGUCAGACUACUUCUUGGACUUUAUGAUCACAUAAUCCACGUAAACCUCAAUCUCUUUGUGUAUCAUAUCAUGGAAUAUGGUUGUCAUUGCCCUCAUAUAAGUUGCCUCGGCAUUUUUCAAACCAAAAUGCAUGACCCGGUAGCAAUAUGUUCCCCAUGGUGUGAUGAAUGCCGUCUUUUCCGCAUCUUCCUCAUCCAUUAAAAUCUGAUGAUAGCCCGCAUAGCAAUCCACAAAAUACCCAAUCUCAUGUUUGGCACAACUAUCAAUCAAAAUGUGGAUAUUUGGCAAUGGGAAGUUGUCCUUUGGACUUGACUUAUUGAGAUCAUGGUAAUCAACACAUACUCUGGUCUUACCAUCCUUCUUUGGCACAGGCACAACAUUGGCUAACCACGUGGGAUACCGCUUGACUCGAAUUACCUUUGCAUCAAAUUGCUUUGUGACCUCUUCUUUAAUCUUCACACUCAUGUCGAUUUUGAACUUUCUCAACUUCUGCUUGACGGGAGGGAAUGCUGGAUCAAUUGGCAAUUUGUGGACUACCAAAUCGGUACUUAAGACUGGCAUGUCGUCAUACGAUCAUGCAAAGAUAUCCUUAUACUCAAACAAUAUUUUAAUUAUUUCUUCCCUGAUUUGUGGUUCAAGAUGGACACUUAUCUUAGUUUCUCUGACAUUUUCUAGGUCCCCUAGAUUGAUUGCUUCUGUAUCAUUCAGAUUAGGCUUGAGUUUUUCUUCAAAAUGACUUAGUUCCUUACUAAUCUUUUCAAAGGCCUCAUCCUCAUCAUAUUCUGAUUCAUCACCACACUCUAUUUCUUGGAUUAUUAUUUCAGAAUUAGAUUGACUUUUAAGACUGGACCGAAGAUUCCUCAUACAUGUCAUGUCAUUAAAACCAGCAUAAAAAGAACUGUACAGAGAAGAAAAGAAAAUAAAAAUAAAACUAUCAGGAAUGAUGGAAAGGGAAAUUGCAUUUCAUUAAAAUAAAGGAUAAUAGGGUUUGUACAUCAACAAGCAAAAAAUAAAAGUCUGGGUCACAACCCUGGAAUGACCUAGAUAGAAAGGAAAACAAAACAAACUACCAAGACUCUUUCCUAGUAGGGAGAGGAGUAGCCUUCCAAUUGUUAAACUUUGCAUUCGGCCCGACGAACUGCACGUCUACUUUGCUAGAACCUUCUCCAAAUUCCACCAUGUUCACAUCAUCAAACAACCUCUAGAACCUUUUAAUUAACUCCUCAUCAAUGUCAACCACAGAACUUGGGACCGUCGUCACUGGGCGUUUCCUGGCACCAGGCUUGACAAAGGACCUGGAGAGACGGGGAACAGGCUAUGGAAGUGCCCACACCUUCUGUUUCAACCUUUUAGCCCUUUUCACAUCUGCCGUUGUAGGUUUGAAUCCAAGAUCGAACGUACCCAAAUUUUUAGGGAGGGACACUGGUUGUACGAUACCAUGCAGAGAUGCACCCAGACCUUUACCGGGCACAAAACCAUUUUUUAGCAUUUCAAAGCCACCAUGGUAGAUGUAGAGGUUAUCUUAGUAGUUGGAAUACAUUUGCCCUCUGGAGCUUUCUCGACCGACACUAUUUCAAAAACCUGAUAGACCCAGGGCCCUUUGUCAUCUUCAACCUCAAUGAACGGGAUAAAGGCAUCACUGUGAGCACACAAGUUAUCUUCACCAUGCACGACGAUCUCCUGUCUAUCCCAUUUAAACUUGACCAUCUGGUGCAGAGUGGACAGGACUGCUUUGGAAGCAUGAAUCCAAGGUCGACCUAAUAGCAAAUUGUAAGAGAUGGCUACGUCCAGCACCUGGAACUCCAUGGUGAAUUUCACUGGUCCUAUUGUCAACUCAAGCACUAUAUCACAAACUAAAUCUUUCCAUGUACCGUCAAAUCCCCGAACGCAGAUGAUGUUCUUAUGAAUCCUCUCAUCAUCCACUUUCAACUUGUUCAGAGUAGAGAGAGGGCAGAUGUUUGCACUAGAACCAUUGUCGACUAAUACCCUAGUAACCACAGAAUCUUCACAUUUUACUGUAAGAUAGAGAGCUCUGUUAUGUUCAGUACCUUCCACAGGCAACUCAUCAUCAGAGAAGGUGACCUUGUUCACCUCAAAUAUUUUGUUGGCGAUCUUUUCCAGAUGGUUUACUGAAAUUUUGUCGGGAACAUGAGCCUUGUUCAGAAUUUUUAUCAAGGCUCGACGAUGCUCGUCUGAGUGGAUUAACAAUGACAACAAUGAAAUUUGAGAAGGCGUCUUUUUCAAUUGCUCCACAAUGGAAUAAUAUUGUACCUUCAUUUUUCUCAGAAACUCCUCCGCCUCUUCUUCAGUCACUGCUUUUUUCACUAACACUGGGUUAUCUCUGGAUGUUUUAGCUUUCCUUAACUCUUCCGGGGCAAAGUAUCUCCCCGAACGAGUUAAUCCCUGGGCCUCAUUGGCUUCUUCUUUCACUUCCUUUCCCUUAUAGGUCAGUAUCACCCGUUCAUAGUUGCACGGGAUAGCCUUGUUGUUGACUAUCGGCAACUGGGUUAUAGGCUUGAUGAUGACAGGAUCCAUACAGGCACCCUCUACAGCUAUGAUAGGCUUGUUUGCCGCUCCUGGCACAACCACUUUUGACUUUUCUUUCUUCUCCGCGACAUCACUUGGGGGUCCUUACUUGACUAGCACAGAUGGUUCACUGUUUGCCCUACUCAACUUGUUCACUGAUCCUUCAACUGUUGGUUUUUUAAUUAGCUUGACCUCACUGGACUGAAUCAUCAUGACAGUUUGUGAAGGCUUCUUGGGCUCCCCUCCCUUAUGUACUAUCUCGAUCAUGUUUGUUUCCUGAUGGGUUGGAAAUGGGUUCUGGUUGAUGUUAGGUGCCUAUGGAGUUUGGACUUCAAUCCGGUUUGUGUCAAUGAGCUCCUGGAUGGCGUUUUUCAAGUGGCAGCACUUCUCCGUAUCAUGCCUCGGAGUACCAGAACAAUAUUCACAGCUUAUAAAGUAAUCAAGAUUCUUUGGAGGAGGGUUUGACAAUUUUGACUCAAUUGGCCUCAGCAUAUCUAAUUGCCUCAAUAUGUGGAACAAACGAUAUAAGACUCCCCCAAUGGGGUAAAGAUUUUCUUCUAUUGUAUCCUCUUAUUUUUUAAAUGCUAGAUUAGGUCGGAAACCUGGGCCGGUAGGGUUUCGGUACACUCGUGGAGGUGGGUAAGCAUUUUGUGGAGCUGGGUAGGUGUUUUGUGGGGCUGGGGAACACCAUUGUGCGUAGGUAGGAGGUUAAGUAUAUGUUUGGGCAUGGUGGACAGAAAUAUGAGGGAAUGCUGAUGGGAAGUAGUGUUGGGUGGAUUAUAUGGAGGUUGGGUGUAGGUUCGGUGAUGGGGUCGCAGCUGGGUAUAUCGGUGAUGGACAUAACAGUGCUCUCUUUCUGCUUUGAAAUCUUUUGCCUGCUUGGUCAUCUUGUUCUCAAGGACGAUGAUCUUUUUCUUCAACCUCAUGACUCCAUUGUCAUAUUUCUCUUUUAAUUGUUGAACCAAGCGUGCUCGUUCCUCCGCAUUCUUGGCCAAUUUUGUUUGAGCCCUUGCCAGUUCGCCCUCGGCCUUUUUCAGAUCAAAACCAUAUUCACCCACUUUCUGCCUAAGGUUACAUAUAAACUUUUCAUCUUUUGCACUUCUAGCGGGGUUUUCAGCUACUAUUUUCAUUUCCUGGAUUUGGGCUCGAAGGGCGUCAUUUUCUUUGGCUAGCUUUUUCUUUUUGCCCUCAUCCGCGGCGGCUUGCAAACCAUUCUCAAACUGAAGAUCCCUGACUUGUUUUUCCAGUUUGCCUAUUGUGGCCCUAUACUCGUUCUCCUUGGCCAACCAAGCCCACUGUUCUUGCGAUACUUCAACAAAUUCCUGAAUGUGAGGCUUUUUGGUUGGUCUUUCAGGUUUGGCCCUUGUGGUGUUCUUUUUUCUAUACCAGGCAAGAUAGGCUGGUGAGACCUCGCCUCUAGAUAGGUCACACACUCGAGUGUUUGCUGUCAAAUACUAGCACUCAAUCCAAAUAUGACGAACUGUUUCUUUAUGAAAUUGGCCGUCGGAGCUGACUUCGACCGCAUAAACACUAAGAUCUUCAUCUGGGUGCGUCACCUGGCAUCUUCCCAACUGUCUCAUUACCUAGUAUGAAGCAUAAGGAUGAAUGCCUUGAAGACCCAUUAGAAGGAGGUAAGGCCCGGUGGCAGGCAUAUACAUAAUUUCUUCAACAGGAAGCCAACCCAGUGUCUGCUAUAUUUGCCCCGCAGUGAUGGAGCGAAGGCGGGGUACCCAAUCUCCAAACCCUUCUGGCAGCUUGAACCUUGAAAUUCUUGUGUCUAACUCUUCAAUGCAGCUUUUCUCCAUGGACCCAUAACUCAUAUACUGAGGGCGGUGAGACAGAUGCUGGAUCAUCCACAUUUGUAACAGCAAAUGGCAUCCUUCGAAAAAGUUUGCCCCAGCUUUACAAGCUGUGAGAGCUCGGUAUAUCUCAGACACUAUCAUAGGGGUGAGAGUGCUCUUGGCAUUGGUAAUAAAGAUAUUGAUGACUCCAGCCACCCGCAGAUCCAUAUUCCCAUCCUUUCGGGGAAACACCACGAGGCCUAAGAAGGCUACCAUGAAAACGAAACGCCUAUGCUCAUCCCAUUUUGCUCGGUUCCCUUUGCUACAAACCCCACUCUCCGGGUUGUCAAAUCCUCCUACAUGCCCGUACAUUUGGUAUAUGAAGCGUAGAGUGGAAAAACCGACCGCCAAAUCUGCGUACUAGACCCCACUACUUAUUUUUAGCAAAUCCAAGAACUUGUGAGAGGUAACGGUUCUUGGAGCGACCAGAUACUUAUGCCUUAGACCUUCAGUACUUCCCAUAUAACCUACUAUCUCUUCCAAGAUAGGUGUGAGUUCAAAAUAUGAGAAGUGGAGGACGUUGUGAGCUGGGUCCCAAAAUGUUACCAGUGCCCUUAUUAUGUCUCCUUUAUGCCUAAUCUUCAUCAAUCCGGUGAGCCCUCCCAAAUAAAGGUUGACCACAUCUCGUCCUUCUUUACCCAAAUCUUCCCACCACAUGAGUAGAUCCAAUGGAAUCUUGGACAUGACCUUUAUUGGUAAAUUUUGACUCGUGCUCAUUCUACACUUUUAGAUUAGGGUGAUUGGUUUACACACAAAGUGAAUCUCAUUUAAAAAACUAAUAAAAGGGGUUAUUUUGCAAAAAUCAAGAAGUCAGGGCUACUUUUGCGAAUACGGCCCUCUAACACUUUGAAAUGGAAGUUUUUAGGGCUGUGAUCACUAAGUGGCCAAAAUUUAACAAAACACAGUCAGUGACUAUUCUUGCAAAAACAGCCUUCCGGUGUCCCGUUGAGACAUUAGGCUAUUUAGACAAGAACGGCAUUACCCACUUUAUUUACGACAAAAUGACGACACUUCAUAUAUUUUUUCAAAUUUUUUCAAAAAGCGGAGCUGGACCUGAUAAGGGUUGCCUAUGUAUCCCACAUCCGGUGAGAAUCAAACAUGCGUAGUUUGGCUAGUUUUGACAUGAAAAAACAAAAAUCAUUUUGGACUAAUUCUUCUCUUUUCAAGAAACUUCUUUUUCAAGGAAUUCUUUUUCUUCUCUUUUUUCAAAAAUUCGGCAGAGUUUCGAAACAUUUUGGGCAUCAUUUUUGGGAAACGGGUGAAAUCCUCUCUCAUACCUCAACUCGGGUUUUCUUUUGGUUUUCCUCACUCAAUCUAGAAGCUGGUCAACAUGCAAUCCAAAACAAAUUAAAUGCACAGGUAGCACAUAGAAUGCAUCAGGUUGGUCUUUUACUUUCGGAUGCACCUGUCCUAGACGGACCCAACCCCUGUGUUGAGUCCCCAAAGUCAAAUGCACAUGGUGCAAACAAGCGUUCCUACUAGGGAUCCGACAUAAGGCUAAGUUAUUCUAAGUUUAAAACCUGGAUGUAUUGUUCUAGACCUGGCUUACACGAGCAGACAACUCGAGCCGAUGGGGGGAAGCAUACCGGUAACCAAAAGAUCAUCCAGCUUUGCAACUUGUCCGAACCUCGUUCUAAAUUGGGAUAUGACACUAACAGAAAGAAGUCACGCCAGUGUGCACUCCUCAGAAGAUAGAUGAGAGAGGUUUCAUAGCAGUUUAUAUAUACAGAUCAGAUAAUAUCAAAGCGGUAAAAGGCAACAUUUAGCACAUUAGGCCCAAACAUGUAGAUAAAAUCAGACAAUAAGCCGAAUAUAACAAUUAUUCUAAGCUCGAAUUCUUGAACCCUGAACCAGAGAUUCUGGGUUCGUAUCCCCACAGAGUCGCCAGAUCUGUCACACCUCUUUUUUCCUACCCCCGAAAAGUUAUAUAAGGGGAGAUUUUUCCAAUUCAAGUGACAAUCGAAACGGGAUUAUUUGUUUUUAAAAAAAAUCAUAGUCGCCACUUGGAAUAAUUUAUGGUGUCCCAAGUCACCGGUUCAAAUCCCGAAUCGAGGAAAGGUUGACUCUGGUUUAUAGUCCGCGAAUACAGAAAUUCGGGUAAGGAAUUCUAUUAACCCGAGAGAAGCUUUUAGGCAUUCCUGGGUCCCGUGGUUUUAGCACGGUCGCUCAACGGUUAUUAUUGGCCUAUUUAUUUGAUUUUAAAACAUCUUUGAAACCUAUGUGCAUUUUUAUUCCUUUUAAACCGCUUUUAAUAAUUUGAUUGUUAUACAACUAAUUAUUUGAUUACACGUUGCGAAUCAUGUUACAGGAGUCGUACCCAUGAUCCGCAACAUGUUUAUUUUUAAUAACAAAAUUAAAUUGUGGCCGGGUCGCAUAAAUGCACCCCCGGGUUUUAGGAAUUAAGUAUCAUGACCACAUCACGGGAACCGUACCCGUAGCUAUGACAAUUAUUUAAUUAACGCGCCUAAAGCAAACUACGAAAGCUCAAGGCAUUUUCUAUACUAAUUUGGUAUUUAUGUAAGGGCCAUACAUUAUGGAUUUUAUUUGCGUAUGGCGCACCUCAAUUUAGUUUAGGAAAAGAAUUUGUAUUUAGCUAAGGCAAACCUUAAAUACUCCUACUUAUACCUAAUUUUAAAAGAAACUAAGAAUCACAACCACGUCACGGGAAUUGUACCCGUAGUUGUAAUAACUUAAUUACGCGCCUAAAGAAAACUACGAGAUUUAUUUUAGUAACUAAAUUAUAAAAUAUGAGGGCCAUAGAUUAUAUGAUUCAAAUGUAUGAAUGGCACACGCCUCAAAACUAUUCAACUAGAUGAAUUAAGGAUAUUCAUAUUUAAAGCUAAUUCAAAAUUUAGCGUCACAACUACGUCACGGGAACCAUACAUGUAGUCGUGACGUUUCAAAAAAGGGCCUACAACGAACUAUGUGGUUCACAGUUUUGUUAUUCCUUACAUUGAAAUUAUUUUACAAAAAAAACCAAGAUUACAAAAGGGGUUAUAGGCUUGAGGGAAACGAUUCAGUUGAUUCAACACUUAAGGAAAGAUUAAUCACAAUCCCAUAUCUUGAUCCAUUCACGAAUAAGUCAAGCACAAUGACAAAGAUGUGGCAUUCAAGAAAACAUAGAGGAUUACUAUCUAACAAACAAAAGCAGAAAUGAUAAUAAUAGGGUUAACAAAAUGGUGUAGAUUUUCAAUAUGAUUAAAUCUUGCAUUUCCCUCCCUUUCCGAAGUGAGCUCUCAGUACUAAAACAAGACAAAUUUAGUAAGAUCAAAUCCACCGAGCCUCAAAGACGCAAUGGCCAAACAUCAGAUCAAAGAGUCCAAUAAUUGAUAGGCAACAAUAACAUAAAUGGCACCAAAUAUUCCAUCCACAUAAACUGGAUGCCUAAGCUACCAUACUUGGAUUGCAAACAUAAAACUAUCUUGCAAAUCUGUAUUAGGCCUAAAUCUCAACUUUUCUACAUCUAAAUCCAAAUGAAACAGCAAGAGUGCUCAAUGCAAAAAUCAGUUAAAGCUUCAAACAAACCAAAUCCAUCACUGAAGUAGUAACACAUGGUUAACAAUUCCAGAACGUUAUACUACCCUAAAG